UGUUGACCUCAAAUCAGGUAAGACUACCCGCUGAACUUAAGCAUAUCAAUAAGCGGAGGAAAAGAAACCAACAGGGAUUGCCUCAGUAACGGCGAGUGAAGCGGCAAAAGCUCAAAUUUGAAAUCUGGCGCAAGCCCGAGUUGUAAUUUGAAGAAGGUAAUUUUUGGUAGGACGUGGACAAAAGUUUCUUGGAACAGAACGCCAUAGAGGGUGAGAGCCCCGUUUUGUCUUCCUCUCGUGCCUUGUAAAAUGCCUUCGAAGAGUCGAGUUGUUUGGGAAUGCAGCUCUAAGUGGGUGGUAAAUUCCAUCUAAAGCUAAAUAUUGGCGAGAGACCGAUAGCGAACAAGUACAGUGAUGGAAAGAUGAAAAGAACUUUGAAAAGAGAGUGAAAAAGUACGCGAAAUUGUUGAAAGGGAAGGGUUUUAAGAGAGACUUGGGGGGUAGCGAACAACUUUCCUUUGGGGAGGUGCACUCACUACCACCUGGGCCAAUAUGGGUUUGUGGAGUGGGAUAAAAGGGCAGGAACGUGGCCAUUCGUGGUGUUAUAGCCUGCUCCAAUACCACUACCGCAGACCAAGGAAAGCGAUUUCUAGGAUAUUGGCGUAAUUUCUUUAAACCACCCGUCUUGAAACACGGACCAAGGAGUCUAACGUCUAUGCGAGUAUUUGGGUGUCAAACCCAUAAUGCGUAAUGAAAGUGAAUUAGAUAAGACGGCAUUUUGCCGGCACUAUCGACCGAUCUUGAUGUUUUCGGAUGGAUUUGAGUAAGAGCAUAGCUGUUGGGACCCGAAAGAUGGUGAACUAUGCCUGAAUAGGGUGAAGUCAGAGGAAACUCUGAUGGAGGCUCGUAGCGGUUCUGACGUGCAAAUCGAUCGUCAAAUUUGGGUAUAGGGGCGAAAGACUAA
rnacentral:rRNA from 1 species